CAGCUCCUUUACAUUUUUACUGAAUCUUAUCUAUGUAAAACUAAUGUUUAUGUCAGUUUUGUUUUUUGCUUCCAAUUGUUCAGUUUCUGCCUUCUCAACGUGUAAUCGUUUAGCAUUUUAGCCUUUGUACAUCAAAGGUAACAUGCCGAAGGAAAGAAGAGAUCGCUCCAUGUCUUUUGAUAGGUGUAGGAGAUCUCCCUUCUCAUGUAGCUCCAGCUAUAGUCGCCAAUCUUCAUCUAAAGUCCUUUCAGAAACUGAGGAAAACAUAAAGGAAUGGGAAGAUGCCAGGUGCCCUGUCUGUAUGGAACAUCCUCACAAUGCAGUUCUCCUCAUAUGUUCUUCCCACGAGAAGGGUUGUCGUCCAUACAUGUGUGAUACAAGUUAUCGCCAUUCAAACUGUUUUGAUCAGUUUCGCAAGUCAUUUAUGGACACCUCAGCAACAACACCAGAAGAUCCUCAACAAGAAGAAGCUCAACUUGUAACCACUAAUUUGUCACCAACCAUGACUGAAAAUUCAGUAUCAACUGCCACUGAUUUGCAGGAAGAAAGAACUGAGGAAGGGAACUCAAUCCCAUUCAAUGCCUCGUCUGAGAACCGGGUGCUUUCAAAAUUAGUAUGUCCUCUGUGUCGUGGCGAGGUAAAAGAUUGGGUUGUUGUAGAGCCUGCUCGUUGUUUCAUGAAUGCCAAAUCUAGAAGUUGUUCGUCUGAAUCAUGUAAUUUUACUGGCGCUUAUAAAGACCUAAGGAAGCAUGCAAGACUUGAGCACCCUUCUGUGCGCCCUUCAGAGGCUGACCCUGAGCGACAGCGAAAUUGGAGAAGGUUGGAGCGUCAGAGAGACCUCGGGGACUUGCUCAGCACGCUGCAAUCUUCAUUUGGAGAUGAGAGGAAUGAUGACAAUGUUCUUCCGAUUGAUGAUGGAAGUUGGCUUACUGUCUUUUUCCUAAUUCGAGUGUUUCGACCAGGUUCUAAUCAUAGGAGGAGCAGCUGGUCUCGUGCAUCAAGGGCGAGAGCUCAAUCGAGUAUUAGGAGAUCUACCAGACUCGGGGGCGAAAGCUAUGAUGGAGAAAGUGGAUCUACCAGAGAUGAGGACAAUGUGUCUUCAGAUAGUGGAUCGCUUCCUUGGCGUCCUUGGAGGCGCCGUGUAAGGAGACGGUCGUCUCCUGACAAUCAACAAUGACACUGUUAGUGUGAUUGUAUCUUUAAUAUAAUAUGUUUAUUGUUUGCACGUUGUAGGACUGGAAGAGAAAUGCAAGUGAGUGUGUAUGCGCAGCAUGGAACAUAUUUGGUCCAAGUUGCAGGAUAGGAUCAAAUGAGUGAAACUAAGUUGAAUGUAUUUUGGAACUGAACUCAUUCAGUAAGCAUACCAUUAUUUCUUUCUUGCACGGCGUGAUCUCUAUGUCUACUAUAAUUUCAAGUUUUUUUCCUUUCAACUGUUGAGAUAUAAAUUGUUAUUGUUCAUUCUGAAAGUAUGAUGAUGUUCAGAGCAAUAUGCAUAUUCUUGGUU